rnacentral:rRNA from 1 species
ACUCAAAUGAAUUGACGGGGGCCCGCACAAGCAGCGGAGCGUGUGGUUUAAUUCGAUGCAACGCGAAGAACCUUACCUGGGCUUGACAUGUGCCGGACAGCGGCGGAAACGCCGUCUCCCUUCGGGGCCGGUGCACAGGUGCUGCAUGGCUGUCGUCAGCUCGUGCCGUGAGGUGUUGGGUUAAGUCCCGCAACGAGCGCAACCCCCGCCGGUAGUUGCCACUUUCUACCGGGACUGCCGGGCCAAACCCGGAGGAAGGUGGGGAUGACGUCAAGUCAGCACGGCCCUGACGUCCAGGGCUACACACACGCUACAAUGGCCGGUCCAGAGGGCGGCGAAGGCGCGAGCCGGAGCGAAUCCCAGAAAGCCGGCCCCAGUGCAGAUGGCAGGCUGCAACUCGCCUGCCUGAAGGCGGAGUUGCUAGUAACCGCCGGUCAGCACACGGCGGUGAAUACGUUCCCGGGCCUUGUACACACCGCCCGU